rnacentral:SRP_RNA from 15 species
GUUGGCGGCAGCGAACUGCCUCAGGCCGGCAAAAUCCUCGGUGCGGCCGAGCAGGGAGUGCCACUC